AUGUAUGGAUAACCAUGGUAAACUAUGGCUAAUACAUGAACAGGUUAUUUAUAUGGUGAGACAUUGAUAACAGACAGGAAGCGACAACGAUUAAGUUUCUGGCCUAUCAGCUUUGAAGGUAGGGUAAUGGCCUACCUUGGCUAUGACGGGUAACGGGGGAUCAGCGUCUGAUACCGGAGAGGGAGCCUGAGAAAUAGCUCCCACGUCUAAGGAUGGCAGCAGGCGCGAAACUUACCCAAUCUCUUUAUGGAGGAGGUAGUGAAGAGACAUGAGAGAUAUAUCUACAGACUAUACAAUAAAUUAGUAUAGGAUCGACUGGAGGGCAAGUCUGGUGCCAGCAGCCGCGGA
rnacentral:rRNA from 1 species